UACGUAGGGGGCAAGCGUUGUCCGGAAUCAUUGGGCGUAAAGAGCGCGUAGGCGGUCCGGUAAGUCCGCUGUGAAAGUCAAGGGCUCAACCCUUGAAUGCCGGUGGAUACUGCCGGGCUAGAGUCCGGAAGAGGCGAGUGGAAUUCCUGGUGUAGCGGUGAAAUGCGCAGAUAUCAGGAGGAACACCAAUGGCGAAGGCAGCUCGCUGGGACGGUACUGACGCUGAGGCGCGAAAGCGUGGGGAGCAAACAGG
rnacentral:rRNA from 1 species